rnacentral:rRNA from 1 species
UUGCCAGCCGCCGCGGUAAUACGGAGGGUGCAAGCGUUAUCCGGAUUCAUUGGGUUUAAAGGGUGCGCAGGCGGAUACUUAAGUCAGUGGUGAAAUCCCGGGGCUCAACCCCGGAACUGCCAUUGAUACUGAAUAUCUGGAAUACGGUUGAAGUGGGCGGAAUGUAGCAUGUAGCGGUGAAAUGCAUAGAGAUGCUACAGAACACCGAUCGCGAAGGCAGCUCACUAAGCCGAUAUUGACGCUCAGGCACGAAAGCGUGGGGAGCGAACAGGAUUAGAUACCCUGGUAGUCCACGCCGUAAACGAUGAUAACUCGUUGUUGGCGACACACAGUCAGCGACUAAGCGAAAGCGAUAAGUUAUCCACCUGGGGAGUACGGUCGCAAGGUUGAAACUCAAAUGAAUUGACGG